UACGUAGGGUGCGAGCGUUGUCCGGAAUUAUUGGGCGUAAAGGGCUCGUAGGCGGUUUGUCGCGUCGGGAGUGAAAUCCACUGGCUUAACUGGUGGCUUGCUUUCGAUACGGGCAGACUGGAGGUAUGCAGGGGAGAACGGAAUUCCUGGUGUAGCGGUGAAAUGCGCAGAUAUCAGGAGGAACACCGGUGGCGAAGGCGGUUCUCUGGGCAUGUCCUGACGCUGAGGAGCGAAAGUGU
rnacentral:rRNA from 1 species